AGUGUCGCGCUUGAUUGCUGAACAAAUCUCGCUGAACUACGUGUAUUCUCAAGCAAUAACAUUGGAUAUCAGGCUAUAGCUACGAGCAUACACGUGGCCAUUGGAGAUAGCUUCUGCCACUGUAAUCCUCGCUGCGAAUAGCCGGGAUAACCGAGAUCCUGGCACUCUCACUGGCGGUUUUGUGUUACGCACCCGAUGCGCCUAAUAAUGCCAAGCCGCAGAAUUAAUUGCACUAUAAUUUGUAAUUAAGUUACCGGGCAAACACGAAACUAUGCGUGGUGGAAUGUUUUCAACGGGGGACGCAACAAAUGGAGAGAGGAGGUGAAAGGGUUCUCCCCUCCGCAGGCUAAUAAAACCGAAGGAAUAUCGCUGUCCUGUGGCGGCAAGGAUGUUGCCGAUGUCCCACCACUUUCCAUCCUGCCAUCCUUCCAUAACUGUACAUGUAACUACGUUGUUUCACCGUAAUUAAUUAAUUACAUUACACAAACUUGCCGUCA